CCUUUCCUGACGCUGAGGAGCGAAAGCGUGGGAGCGAACAGGCUUAGAUACCCUGGUAGUCCACGCUGUAAACGGUGGGUACUAGGUGUGGGGUCCAUUCCACCGGUUCCCGUGCCGUAGCUAACGCUUUAAGUACCCCGCCUGGGGAGUACGGCCGCAAGGCUAAAACUCAAAGGAAUUGACGGGGCCCCGCACAAGCGGCGGAGCAUGCGGAUUAAUUCGAUGCAACGCGUAGAACCUUACCUGGGUUUGACAUGGAUCGGGAGUGCUCAGAGAUGGGUGUGCCUCUUUUGGGGUCGGUUCACAGGUGGUGCAUGGCUGUCGUCAGCUCGUGUCGUGAGAUGUUGGGUUAAGUCCCGCAACGAGCGCAACCCUUGUUCACUGUUGCCAGCACGUUAUGGUGGGGACUCAGUGGAGACCGCCGGGGUCAACUCGGAGGAAGGUGGGGAUGACGUCAAGUCAUCAUGCCCCUUAUGUCCAGGGCUUCACGCAUGCUACAAUGGCUGGUACAGAGAGUGGCGAGCCUGUGAGGGUGAGCGAAUCUCGGAAAGCCGGUCUCAGUUCGGAUUGGGGUCUGCAACUCGACCUCAUGAAGUCGGAGUCGCUAGUAAUCGCAGAUCAGCAACGCUGCGGUGAAUACGUUCCCGGGGCUUGUACACACCGCCCGUCAAGUCAUGAAAGUUGGUAACACCCGAAGCCGGUGGCCUAACCGUUGUGGGGGAGCCGUCGAAGGUGGGACUGGUGAUUAGGACUAAGUCGUAACAAGGUAGCCGUACCGGAAGGU
rnacentral:rRNA from 1 species